GAAAUAUUUGGUAUAUUCCACAAGUCACGUGCUCGGCAGCAAGUUGCAGCAUCUAAUUGACCUGAAUUUCAUGGCAGCAAGAAAGAAGCUAUGUUGAGGUCAUGCGAGGCCAUCACACACCUGCAUGCUCUCCACAGAUCCAGGGUUUUGUUGUGACAGACCGGAUCAUCGCGUUUUCUCUGUCGGUGGAACUUGCAUCGCUGUGUCAUCACCAUGGAUCAGGUUGCUCACAGGUUCGCAACGGAUCCGGAGACUAUACCAGGAACACCUGGCACGACGAAGGAAGAUACCCUACGACCUGGAUGGUACAUUCUAGUACUGGGGAGAGAUGAUUUGAAAAGGUACCGAUCCUACAGCUAGCCGAUAUCCUGUCAGGGUUAUCUUAUCUGUGGCUAAUUAAGCGAUGCAUGUUAGCCAUGUGAUCUGUCUGUUCUCACUGGCUCAAGAACAAAAGUCAUCAGUCCAAACAACGGUGAUCUAGUGAGUGAAAAUAUGAUUUGCAAACUUAACAGAUGGUAAAUUAUGACUCUAUUAGUGAGCAGAGAGCUGUGUUUUGUGGGUAAUGAGAUCAGUCUCACUCGACAACCCAUAAAUCCAUGCUUUGAUUAGCACAUCUGCUAUUAUGAAAGAGGCGUUUAUUCAAAGAACAAAACCAGCAGUCGCUUUUCUGUAUUGCUGAAUGGUUCUUGCUUAUUAUGGUGGCAUGGCAUAAACCAACUCGUACGUAUAAAGUUAAGGUGAGUGCGCAUAGCGGGGGUGUGUGUGUGUGUGUGUGUAUAUAAAAAGGCUUCCUCAAGUGUUCUUUGGGCGGUUAAGUGAUUGGGUUGCUCUAUUCACUGAUUAUUGGUAUUAAAGAAUAUUGUUGGAAUACAGUGGAAAUGAAGUCAAACUCGAAAUCAGAUAAUCACUCCAGCUUUUUCAGUUUCGAGUCCUACAAAAAUUGCAUGAGAUCGAAUUGAAUUUCAACACUAGUGCCCUCGCCACCUGUGUACAUAUAAGAAAUACAACCAUUACAAAAAAUUGUGUGCUUGCUCUCAACUUAUAAUGAAACUAGAUGAUGUGUUAAUGGCAUAUACUGCUUGGUUGGUUUUGACCACAUUUAGAGGGUGUUUAGGAGCUGUGUGUUUGAGCGUAGGUUUUUGUGGUCAUCUCUGGACUGUACAGCACUGUAGUGCUACAGCAAGGCCUGCGUCAUACAUGGGGAAAGCCCAUCAUUCUGGGCUGAACCCAUCACCGCCACUCCUCCUCCUCAUCAUUUCUCUCACUAACAUUUUCAUCUUUCCUGAGAUUUUUUCCAUCUCAUUCUGUUCAGUUCUUGGCCGCACAUUAAGUGAGCACUCGGCACCUAAUCAUGUCUAGCUACACAUCCUUGUGUUCAACCACUCAAUUAAGUUUUCCUCUUGGGCCAAAGGACUCAAUAAAUAAUGCCAUGCCCCUGCCUCAUCGUCAAUCAUUGGCAAUUCUAGACUCUUUUAAAAAAAAAAAAAAAAUAUUCUUUACGGUGGCCCUAUACUUCUAUACUUCCUUUCUGCCCCUUGGUCACUCUUUCCUAAAUCGAUUAAAUUCCUUCUAAACAUGAGAAAAGUGGUAUUGCAGCAGUAAACAAUCUGCAAACUGUCCCCUGGCUCCUCCCCUUCAUUUUUGAUGUCUUUGUUUGAAACAGAACACAGCCCUGUGACGCUUUCCUUGCUGUCUCUGUCUGAACUAGGAGGGUUACCAGGUUUGGGCUGAGUUGACAAGUAGUCAUCGGUAGCCAAAAAAAAAGUUCCUUUUGUCACCGGAAAUCUCUUAUUGAAGACACGUUCAAUGAAAAUGUACUAUUUUUAAAAUAUAAAUCCUGCCUCAAAACACAUCUGACUCUGGAGACUAGCGUCUUGUCAUGACUUGUGUGAUCAAAUUCUACUCAUUCAUAUGUUUCAGUAUGCUUGAGUUUGAACUCGAACAAAAUUCAGUUCAGAUCGGCACAGCUGUUCAGUAUCGUAUGUAGCGACGUGCACGUGUGGAGGAAGAACGUGUCCUAUCGGACAUGAGGCUUGCUCUCUCUUUAAAUUUAAACUUCUUUCAUUGACAUGUUGGUGUUUUCACUUUGGUCAGCAAUAUGUUCUACAUUACCCAUAAUGCCAUUCGACUACCUGGUGUUAUUGGUGCCAGUGGGAGUUCUUCUCUCAAUGGUGCCAAUGGGAAUUCAAGAGUUGCAGCAGUGCUUUACUCCUUUGGUCUUCCUAGUUCUCUCACCUCCAUGUCCAUACGGUCUGCUCAAACAGAUCAGAUUCCAAAGCUUCUAAUACGGCUGUUAAUGCCAUCAUGCGCGCCAGCUCAUAGAUCGCUAAUUACCCGAGCCAAGUCUCUGCCGUAACGGUGCGACUGUAUAGUGAAGAAAAUGACGAAUGAGAAGACGCUAAGCUUCUUCCUCUUUUGUUUUUAGGAGCUAACAGAGAAACCUGGUUAUUAUCCCUUCUGUUAAACACGAUUGUAAAUGCGCUAACGACGUCUCGCUAACUUCUCACAGGAAUAACGGAAGUACAGCACCGACCAACAAAUUAGAGCCAAGAUCGCUAAACACAUCACAGAUAUUUCAAUAGAGACGUAUUCAUUAGAGAGUGCGUCUAUGGGUGGACAUUUUCUUUAAGCCGUUCACUGUAGUGGGUCUUUCUGGCAGCCAUGAGAUUUGAACUCUCAAAAAGAAAACAAACAAGCUAACCGAAAGAAGGUUGGUCAAGGGGGCCAAGCAUUCUUCAGGCAUAAACACAGUCCCAUAGAGUUAUUUUGUGGGUAUGACAUCUGUUGUUGUUCUUGUUGUGUGUGGGUGUCAAGGAGGUGAAAUGAGGCAGAGUGACUCUUGGGUGGUUCUAAUCAGUCUCCAGCUGUGUUUGUGCUGUCAGCUCAAUGUGAAGCUGCUUCACCGAUCUGCACUCAUCCAUACGGGAGGUUAAUUGGAGGACUUAACAUGUGUAGAGCACCAAUCACAAUACAUAUGCGUUGAGCUGCUAGACUCGACUGCUUCGUUAUAGUAAUAUUGAUGGUAAUUUCUUUGGUUGCAAUUGAAGUCGGUUGUUCAGUCAGUUCAGAUCAGGCUCUCCACUUUAACUAGUGCUUAGGUAGCAACCUUUUAUUUGAAGCUGUCGAACAUCUGGGAUAUGCAACGCACAGCUUGAUGACAAAUGAGAAGAAAAUUCAAGAUGGUCUGGACUUAUGUAGCACCUUUAUCCAAAGAUAGGUUGUUGGGCCACCAUGAGCCACUAGAAGAGCUUGAGUGUAGCUUGGCAUAGCUACUAAAAGUCUGUGAAACUGUGUUUGAGCUGUAUUAACAACAUUCUUCCAAAAGAUAUUCCUUUAACUGGUGUAUUGAUGCUGAUCGAUCGUGCUGUCUAACACAUCUCUCCAGAUGCGUUCAGUUGGGUCGAGAUCUAGUGAAUGUGGUCAAAAAUGCUCGAUUUUGAUGCGUUUUUUUUCUUCUAAAUUUGCGAUGCAAUUUGCAGAGUUUUUUGUGCUUUUUUUUUUUUGCUGUUGCAGAAAACCAUUUGAAUUGGUGAAAUUUCAAUCGCAGGAAAUUGUUUUGCAGGGUCUUUCGCAGUACUGUUUGUCGGUAAAUAUUUUUGCGUUCGUUUCUGCGAUCGCGAAAAUCCUGGAGGGACUGAUGAGAAGUUCAAAGACUAAGCCUAGUGGAAAGUCAGAACUGAGCUGGAAAGCUGCAAAGUUUUGGGAAAUUAACAUUUUUAAGCUUUACUUUGGCUGGCUGGCGUGCCAAGGGUACAAACCUAAAUAAAACGCUCACGUGCGCUCACCCUGGAUCUACUGCGUUCUCUGAGCUCCAUACCACCAAUAUCGUUACACCAUCUAGUCCUAGGAAACCAAAGAAGGCAUAUCUAUUUGGAGUCGCUUUAGGAAUCGUCGUCGGAUUCCAGGCUUGAUAAUGUAUGUUUCUGGUGGGUAUACUGCAGAUAUCACAAUUGGUCAAAUUUGAUCCAAAUACUGCAUGCAAAUACUGCAUGCACUCUUAAAUGAAAUUCUGAACAACAAACGAUAUUGAUAGCCAACAGUGACGCGCUAAUGAAAGUCGAUGCACCUCGUUCACGCCACGCUUCCCUUCCCCUUCAGUGAACUGGCUUUUCCACUGGGUGUAUUUUAUUUGACUUUUGGUCUGACUGUUGUACAGAAAGAUGCAGACCUUACUAUUAAAUCUCUCUAGCGUUUAGGACGUAUUUGAUGAAACUAUAACCAUAGCUACUUUCUCUUUUACCCAAACAGUUUCAGUUGAUUAAUAAAUAUCUUGAUGACAGAUGUACUGGAAGGUCCAGAAUGUUUUGUACUGUCCUACUUUGAUGAUUAUCAUGACUCACCAUGCUGUGGUGAAGGUUCUUUUAUGUUUUAUCAGCAUGUGGGAUAAAACCCAGAAACUAUGACGUGGCUUUUUAAAUGUAUACUUUCUCUUGUUUUGAUGGACAAACAUAAUCAUUUUGCAUGACAUCUGUAUUGAUGUCCAAAGCUAGUGUCGGUUUGAUGUUCUUUCAUGGACCACAGACUCCCAAAGCUGCCCUAUAGCAUUUCAGAAACCUGUGUGUGUUUGAUCACAUGCAUGCAGGUGCUCCUGCCCCCAGCUAGGAAACUUCAGGAGCUUCAGCAAAUGAAAACAUCCACACCUGAGGGCCUGGAGCACACCGGUGAGAGGGAAAUGUCUUCCAGCUCCAAACCAAAGCCACAAAGUCAGGGAAAAAGAGCUUUAAACCCCAAAGCACCUUUAUGUGCUGGUUUACAUUUUUAGAUGACAGGGGCUUCUGAUCUGUCCGUCUAUCGCAGUCUGCUAUUCCACACAAUCGGAACUAAAUACAACAGUGAAAAUCAAGAUUGUUCCUGCACAUAAUGGUGUACUCAAUAGAGUUAGCGCGACUGUCUGUGGUUGCGUUGGCUUGCUUGUUUAGCUUUCACUAUGAAGAUUAACUUUCACUCACUACACUAGCUUUCACUAACUAGAUUAGCUUUCACUCACUAAGUUAGCUUUCAGUUGGUAGUAAACUUUAACUCACUAGAUUAGCUUUCACUCAAGAUAAUUUUCUACUUGCUAGUUUAGCUUUCAGUUGAUGGCUUUCAUUCAGGAGAUUAGCUUUCACUAUGAAGAUUAGCUUUCACUAUGAAGAUUAGCUUUCACUAUGAAAAUUAGUUUUCACUCACUAAGUUAGCUUUCAGUUCUGUGGGUGAUGGGUAAAAGCCAGGAUUACAAACGUGUCCCUGUAUUACUUAAGGCCAGUUCUAUUUGUCAUGUGUAAAACAGACAGCAGUAGUGCGUGUGUGUGAAGAACAAGUCGAGAUGAGCUAAUUCAUAGAUGACACUGCAUGCAGGACCACAUGUGGCUGUGAUCAGAGUGUAAAUUGUUGGAAGGAAGGAUGACCCCAGAAUUUCGUCUUGUUUUCUCCGUUCGGUUACUAAACAUUUGUGUUAGAGUGUCGGAAAAUGAGCAAGCGAAAGUUUACUAACGUCUGUGUUUAAUUACGGAAAUAUUUAGCUCUCAUAAUGAUUCAGUAAAUACGUUAAAUGCAAAUACGUUAAACAUGAGAUAUGACCACAUAAUUAUACACUUCAGGGAACAUUUACGUUGUUUGUAUUGGGGGGGAUACCUGUACAGUACCUUUUUUUUUUUUUUCUUUUUUUUUCCUCCUUUCUCUUUUCUUCUCUGAGACCAUACAAAGACCAAAGAAAUUCAUCCCAUUUCUCUCUCUCUCUCUCUUUUAAAAAGUGUUAAACCCCCUCUCAUAUAGCAGAUGGCUGUAAGUCAGGCUCACAUAGACCCCACCAGUGUGGUCAGAGUGGGAACAUUCAGCCAUCAAAAACGGAUUAACGUUAAUUAGGUGACUUUUUUACGAUGGCAACGGGUGGAAUUUGACUCGGACGGACGUUUCACGCGCUCCUAAGGAGCCGCGGCUCUCUCAGCUAAUAAACGUGAGCUCUCCUUGGGUCAAAACGUCCUUGGAUCGAAACAGUCCAAGCUGAAUUCAGGGUUUCCGAGUCUGGCUAGGAGACCUUGAUGCUGUAUCGGCUUUGACGUUUUUACGCUCGCCCUUAAAACUCAGCCUGUCGAGGCUAAAUGGGGGCCUUUCAGACUGACUGCUGAACCUAAUUCUAUUUUUCCUCCUCAAUCAUGGACGCUGCACAUCUAUAUGCUUAAAAAUACACCAGAGCCUCAUGAAAUGGCUGAGUGUAUAAAGAAGACAAACACAUAAAUAAGGAGAUAAGCGUCAUAGCUGGUGUGUAAUUUAUGGGCAGUUCAACAGGAGGCAAAAUGUAAUGAAAGAGUGUUCAGACUUUCUUUCUUUUUUUUUUUCUUCUUUUUUUUUCCUUCUUCAAACUAAUGGCACUUCGAAGAGAAAAUCGUGGUAAUUUGUUUUUUUCUUUUUCAGUUCAACUAGUUUGUGCAUUUUAAAUACAUGUGCUUUUAUACCCUGUUGAAUUCUUAAUUGGGUUGGGAAUUGUGAAUUCUGAUGGGUGAGAUGGAUAGUGUUGAUGAAUUUCUAUAACAGCCACUCUGACGGCAGUUCUGGCUGUUCACAGGUUUAUAUUAAUGCACCCUUUCCACGCAAGGACCGGUACAACAGACACUACACGUAGUCUAAGCCUAAUAAUAACUGGAUUUUAAAGAAUGUGUUGUUGGACAAAUAAGUGUAUAAUUGUUGGUAUGGUAAAGCUUGUUGUAAAGAGUCAUUUAUUUAGGGAGUCUCCUGUGUCAGUGAUUUGGAUCAAUCAGUACCUUUUCCUCCAUUGGGAGAAUCUUCAGGACAGAGGAUUUCUGGCUGUAACAUGGUAUUCCUGUGAAAUAAGAGGAAUAAUACACAUCAGGCUUGUGAAAUAUUUUCCUAAAACUUGGUUUAUGCUUUACUUGGCAAGUUCUUAUUGUGUAAUUGUGAUACAUCAAGGAUAUGUUUGCUUUCAUAGUCAAUUUAUCGUUAAUUAUCCCAUGAAAAGAGAUUUUAUUCCUCUAAUUUUUUCUGUACAGAUUAAGAGUGAAAAAUUGUUUUUGCUUCUUCAGGUCUGAGUGAUAUUUUUCAAUUUUACAAAUUGGAAAUGUAAAAUGCAAAUAGUUUUUGUUUGUCCUGUUGUAUUGUGUUUAGGUACCAAAAUAAUGUGGUUUUUGGCAACCCAAGGGUAAACACCAAAGUGUAGGAUGUUUUUUUUUUUUUUUUUUUUUUUCCUUUUUUUCCCUUGUGUGUGCAAUAAGUACAAAAUUUUUUUUUUAUUAUUUUUUUUUAUAAAGAAACAACUGAUUUACUUAUUUGCAUUUUGUUGAGUAAGGUUUUUAUAGUCACCUACUAUACCUGAAAAUUAAUAUAUUCACGUGCCCUUCUGUAUUUAAAAAAUAUAUACAAUAUCUAUAUACAGUACUCAAGUAAAAUAUCUAUCUGAAAUAAAGGAAUUUUCAUUAACUGUUAAUCCUAGGUGUCAAAAACUGGGCAAAAUGGAUAUAAAGUUCUGAGCGUUAAUAUACUGUUGUACUGUACAGGAUCAUGGUGUACAGGUAUGCUAAAUUACAAUAAUGGUCUCAUGUGAUUUGGAGGUGAUUUAUAUCUCAACUGGCUAUGCAUGAGGCAUGCUAUGAAUGUGGAAACUGUGCAUGAAAGGGUUAAAUGUUCUGUAAAACACUUUAAUUGUUCAGGUUUUGCUUUUUCGGGUCUGAGUGCUGUGGCGUUAUCGGUGGUUGAUUUAGUUUUUCCUGCAGGCAGUCGACAGGGGGAGGUCUAGCAAAGAAAACGGAACGCAUCAUGAAAAUUGCUUAAUUGUGUCCUUUUUUCAGGUAUGGAAAUGCUGUUUGCCCAGUAGAAAUGUGUAAUAAGGUUCUUUGUUAGUUGUCAGUGUUUUAGGUUAAAAUAAGAGGAAUCGAGGCGUUAUAAAGCGGCUAGUCAUGCUCACAGCCCCAAUGUUGACAUACAUGCGUGUGUGUAAAACCCUUCACAAGGUUAGUGUACCAUUUUCUGCUCUAUAUACUUCUGAAAACUAAAGUUUUCCCAAUUUGAAAGUGCAUCCCUGCUGGAAAAAAAACAAACAAGAGAAACCUUCCUAGAAUUUUGAAUUUUUUUUAUGGGUAUAAUGGUAAUUGAAUUGGUUAUAAUGGAAACUGUAAUGGUCCCUACUGGUAAUUUGUUCCCUACCAUUGGUGGCACGUUCUGUCUAGUGGAUACCAUUAAGGACAUCAUUACCAUUAGUAAUAGCCUGUUAAGGUUAUUUCACAGCAAUUACCUUCAGAACACUUUUUUUUUUUUUUUUUUUUUUUGAAUGUAAUAUUUAUGGCUCAUUAUGGCUCUUGCACAACUGAAGUCGAUUAAAUAAAAAAACGAAGGAGCAUGACUAAUCAUAUCUGCAGCACUUUCAUAACAUGUUCAGACGUGCCAUCUGUUCAUCAUUCUGCUUUAGGCAUAAAAACCUGCCUCCAUUUUUCCUCUGUUUAUACCACUGUCAAACAUACACACGCAUGUGGACUGGUGAAGACAUCUCACCAAUGCAUCAGGCUUUGGCUUUUGUCUCAUGUGGUUUAAUGUGGGUGUGGGGGGCGACUCGCUGUUUUCUUGAACUUCUGACCUCUUCAAUUGAAAAAAAAUGAACAAAGUCGUGUGUAUAUAGGUGAGUUUGUGAAGAUGCUGUGUUCAGGAUAAACCGUGGACGUCUUUCAUUUGUAAUGUGUGUUUAUCAUAGCUGAUGAAAUGACAGGGCUGGUCCGAAAAGCUGUGUGAAAAGUGAAUCAAAUCUCCAACCUGAACCGAAAUCAGAAAGACCCAAAACCACCUUUGUAGAGGCGGUGACCUGGCCACGCGUGUGCCUUGUUGAGAAUGGGAUGCGAAUUUGUUUCAAGUUUAUUUCUCGAUAUAACAAACGAUCGGACGAAGACCAAGCUGAGAAGCCGAGCGAAUGCUGCUCCCGAAGUGUGUGUAACCCUUUCUUCUUUGAACAACAGUAGAACCAAAUAUCACGGAAUAGACAUCUCCGGAAGUAAGUGUAGUUCCUGUUGAGUUUUAGUAAUUGUUCGAUUAGAUAACAACCUGCUAAAGUGUAUGUAGUGGGAGAAAUUAAGCAUUUGUAGAGAAACUGGAUGUUUUACACAAAAUGCUUCUGAGGCUGGAGGAGGAACAGUAGAUUAUUUGAAAAAAUAUCAAUGAAAUGUUUCUAUUUUAUUAAAAACGUAAUGAAAUGUGUGUCUGUGUGUUUUUAUUCAUUCAUCUUCACUAACUGCUUUAUCCUGGACGGGGAUGUAGUAGAACCCGAGUCUAGCCUGAGACGCUGGGAGCAAAAUGGGACCGUAUACCAUGGACCAGACACCAGUUCAUUGCAGGACAUCAUGCACACACAUCUUCACCCCUAGGGGCAGUGUAGAGUAGCUGAUUCACCUACCCGCAUGUUUUUGGGAGAUGUGACCGACCGCAGUGACAUUAACUCGAGCUCAGAGACAAACCAGGGACCCUGGACUUGUGAGGUGGAAACUCUUCCUCCACUGGUUCAUUUAUUUUCAGGGGGAAUGUGUCAUACAUUGAGCAAAGUCGGAGGAAUUUAAAAAACAACAACAAAACAUUUAAUGUGUACAGCAUUUUUAAUAAUAGCCAUUGACAGCUUGACCGAAAUCUGAAUGUAGACUUACUUUGCUAAUGUACAAGCCAAAGGCGUCCUUGUGGUGGUGGUAGCAGUCGCUUUGGACCACAUCACUCCACCCUGUGGUUGAUUAUGUUCCUGUAACAACAUGCCCCCAAGAGUUUUAUUCCUUACUAAGCAGACAGAAAUUUGUAGCUACAACCCCACAUGACUGAUCUUUUUCUUUUUCUUUAUUUUUUAUUUUUUUAAAUUUUAUACGUGAAGGA